rnacentral:rRNA from 2 species
GAGCACGUAGGUGGGUUUGUAAGUCAGAUGUGAAAGCCUUCUGUUCAACGGAAGAAUUGCAUCUGAAACUGCGAAUCUUGAGUAUAGGAGGGGAGAAUGGAACUUCUGGUGGAGCGGUGAAAUGCGUAGAUAUCAGAAGGAACGCCGGCGGCGAAAGCGAUUCUCUGGCCUAUUACUGACACUCAGUGUGCGAAAGCUAGGGGAGCAAACGGGAUUAGAUACCCCGGUAGUCCUAGCCGUAAACGAUGGGCACUAAGUAGAGGGGUUUU